rnacentral:rRNA from 1 species
UACGUAGGGCGCAAGCGUUAUCCGGAAUUAUUGGGCGUAAAGAGCUCGUAGGCGGUUCGGCAAGUCGGAUGUGAAAUCUCCACGCUUAACGUGGAGGGGCCAUUCGAAACUGCCGUGACUCGAGUCCGGUAGGGGAGUGUGGAAUUCCCGGUGUAGAGGUGAAAUUCGUAGAUAUUCGCAAGAACACCAGUGGCGAAGGCGGCUCACUGGCCCGGAACUGACGCUGAGGUGCGAAAGCGUGGGGAGCAAACAGG